AGUGAACGCUGGCGGUAGGCCUAACACAUGCAAGUCGAACGGCAGCACAGUAAGAGCUUGCUCUUACGGGUGGCGAGUGGCGGACGGGUGAGGAAUACAUCGGAAUCUACUUUUUCGUGGGGGAUAACGUAGGGAAACUUACGCUAAUACCGCAUACGACCUACGGGUGAAAGCAGGGGAUCUUCGGACCUUGCGCGAUUGAAUGAGCCGAUGUCGGAUUAGCUAGUUGGCGGGGUAAAGGCCCACCAAGGCGACGAUCCGUAGCUGGUCUGAGAGGAUGAUCAGCCACACUGGAACUGAGACACGGUCCAGACUCCUACGGGAGGCAGCAGUGGGGAAUAUUGGACAAUGGGCGCAAGCCUGAUCCGGCCAUACCGCGUGGGUGAAGAAGGCCUUCGGGUUGUAAAGCCCUCUUGUUGGGAAAGAAAAGCAGCAGGUUAAUACCCCGCUGUUCUGACGGUACCCAAAGAAUAAGCACCGGCUAACUUCGU
rnacentral:rRNA from 1 species